rnacentral:rRNA from 1 species
CCUACGGGAUGCAGCAGUGGGGAAUAUUGGACAAUGGGGGGAACCCUGAUCCCGCGACGCCGCGUGAGUGAAGAAGUAUUUCGGUAUGUAAAGCUCUAUCAGCAGGGAAGAAAAUGACGGUACCUGACUAAUAAGCCCCGGCUAACUACGUGCCAGCAGCCGCGGUAAUACGUAGGGGGCAAGCGUUAUCCGGAGUUACUGGGUGUAAAGGGAGCGUAGACGGUUAAACAAGUUAUAUGUUAAAUAUAUAGGCUUAACCUGUAGAAAGCAUAUAAAACUGUUUAACUAGAGUGCAGGAGAGGUAAGUGGAAUUCCUAGUGUAGCGGUGAAAUGCGUAGAGAUUAGGAAGAACACCAGUGGCGAAGGCGACUUACUGGACUGUAACUGACGCUGAGGCAUGAGAGCAUGGGGAGCAAACAGGAUUAGAUACCCGAGUAGUC